UACGGAGGGUGCAAGCGUUAUCCGGAUUCACUGGGUUUAAAGGGUGCGUAGGAGGGCAGGUAAGUCAGUGGUGAAAUCUCCGAGCUUAACUUGGAAACUGCCGUUGAUACUAUCUGUCUUGAAUAUUGUGGAGGUGAGCGGAAUAUGUCAUGUAGCGGUGAAAUGCUUAGAUAUGACAUAGAACACCAAUUGCGAAGGCAGCUCGCUACACAUAUAUUGACACUGAGGCACGAAAGCGUGGGGAGCAAACAGG
rnacentral:rRNA from 1 species